ACCUCACUCUUAUUUUCACGAUUCUGAAACAAACUAAAUGGAAGAACGCAGAACAAAUCCCCUCCCCCUCUAUCUCAAUUUCGUUCGCGAUGAACAACCAUGGCGGCUUUCUUUCAUUUGCUCAAACAACAACGAACCGGCCCUAGUUUCGCUCUAGGCCUCUCUCGCGAAAACAACAACAAAACAUCUCUCUUGGUUUACUCACAAACUCGCGGUUCUCACUCGGUUUAAACAGCAAGAAGUUCAUGGUUCUCUUGCUCAGUAAGUGACAACAACAACAGUGAUUCGGUUUUCCUCUCUUGAUCGCUCUCUAUCUCUCACUCGCGGCCAUGGAAGAAGCUUGAAGAAGCUUGAAGAACCCAGAAACUAACAACAAUAGUUAUCAUAUCUUAAUAAAAACUAGCAGCAACGAUUAUUAAUGAUAAAGAGUGGAAUCGAGUUACCUGCGGCGAGGAGACUUUCGCCGGAUUUUGUUGAGAUUCGGUUCUGGCUGGUGAGCAAGAAGCGUGUUUGCCGGCUGCGGUGUUGAAGAUGUAUGCCGAAGCUAAGUUCUGAACCUUAGCUUUGAAUCACUACUUCUUUGUUUCUGAACCGCCUUUGAAUUGUUGUAGGCUUUUGAUGAAGGUGAUGCCACAACACCUCUUUGGACUUAUGGGAGCGCCUUGAAGAUGGAACUUCAAGUUGUUGGAAGCUUGAAGAUGAAGAUCUUCAAGAAAGGUUCUUGCAUGAAAUAUAUGUUCAAAGGAAUAUAUAAAGUAUUGUUUCUUAGAUCCAUCUAAAAUUGGUCUGCCUCGUGGCUCGAAAGGAAACCAUGCCCUUGUUUACAAGACAAGUUGAAAGAGAACAAAGAUUUGACCAUGUUUUAUUACGAGUAAGUAUAUAUUAAUUUAUGUUUUGAACUAUAAAUCAAUUUUAUACACAAUAUUAAUUAUUCUGAAUGUUUAUGCAGUAAUCAUUAACAACUAAUUGUUAUAUGUUCGAGGCUAAAUAUUAUAUGUUUAGUUUUCCUGUUGUACUCUAAACUCCCUAAAGUCGUGGUUAACGUUUUGAAUGCAUAAUCCGUAUUAUUUGUAAUACUUAAACUUUACCUUUAGAAUUGAAUAGUUUUUAUUUAGGAUUAGUUUUAACCGAUAUGUGUAGAGUGAUGGAGGGAUACAAUGCAAUCAAACAUAAUACACUUAGUAAAAAGUCACAAUUUUUAUUUCCUAAGAGUAAGUAUAUUACUUGUGCUUUUUGAAAUUAAAUUAUUUAUGUGUAUUAGUGAUAUAAAUAUAUGAAAAUUAAUUAUAUUGGCAAAAACAACCCGACAACCAGUCUAGUGGAUACUAUGUUAUGAGAUAUAUGCUCCAUAUUGUCUUUGGAGGCAUUGCAAAUAGAUGGAUGAAGAAUGAGGUAUUAGCUUAACCCCCCCCCACACACACACACACGAUCUUUGAUGAAUUAAGUUGAGGUUUCCAAUCAAAACAUAGGCAUGUCAAAUGGUAGAGGCACUAUGAGCGUACAUUCUUCAAAAAAAGACUUAAAAAAAUAGUAUGGUCUCUGGUUGAUUAAGGCCUAGUCGAUUGAAGUUUCCAAAUGGAUAAAGACAAACGGUUUUCUCAAGGACACGUGGAAACCUAUCAGACAAAUAUGCAUGGAUUAAAGGUGUGGCAUUAGUAGCUUAGUCGACCGUUAGAAACAGUUAUUUUAGGAUUUAUUUGUUUUCAGUUUUAGAGGUCCACAUUUGUUAGAUUGUAAAUAUGCAAGGAUACAGCCCCAUUCAUCUUGCUAUGAAUAACCUCCCCAUUCAUCCUGCUGAGGACAACCCCCAAAGGGUGAUGGUGUUAAAGUUGGUUUGACUCCACUUCAUAUUGCAUGUAAAAAUGGGGAGGUGUUGAACUUUUAGUUGAAUUCCUCACUGCUUGUCCGGAUUCCAUUGAAGAUGUAACCGUGAGAGGUGAAUCUACAUCCCAUAUUGCUAUAAUCAAUCAUCAAUUUAAGGCCCUUCAAGUACUUGUUACUUGGCUCAAAGAAAAUUGCAAGACAUGUGCUAGAAAGCUGCAAAAUAAAAUAUUCAACCACUACGAUGAAGAGUUGGGGAACUUUAUACAACUCUUGAUUUUGUUAGAACAAGAAAUGUUCUGAUCAAUAUUCUUAGUUUAGAUGAUAACAUUAUAUAUGAAUUUUGUAUAAGAGAAUGUGGUACUCUAAUUAUUCACGUUUUCCAUUGCAGCAAAAGUAUAAAAGAGAAUGCACAAAUCACCGUUCAGAAGCACUGACCCAGAAGUUCUGGAUGGCUUCAUCAGAACAUGGUCUGGAAAGACAUCAGAUGAGGGUCCUGCCGAAUCAGAACAUGAACUGGAAAGCAUCAUAAGAUGGCAGUCAGAAGCAAAACUCUGAAGCUCUGAUGGUAUCACGCUCAAAGCACUUCAAAGUCUGAAGACAGAAGUUGCAUCUGCAGCAAAGCUAAAGACUCGUAUAUUCAAACGUCUAUUCUACACAUUCUGAGUCCAGAAGAAAGUACAACUACAAAAGGCUAUAACGUCAAAUCUCUGACUAACAAAAGGAACGUUAGAAUCUACAAAAGGCAAAGUCAGUAAAAGCAGUGAAAGCAUGGCUCGAGGUAGUUGACAAAAGUGUGAAACAUUAAAUGCAGCAUUGUACUAUUCACGCAAAGCAUUAAAUGCUCCCAACGAUCAUUUCCUCUCAACGACUAUAUAUAGAAGUUCUGAUUCAGAAGCAGCUAUCCAAAUCUUGCGCAAACACACAGAAACACUGUCAAACUGAAAAUCAAAGAAGAACUUCAUC